AAGUCAAAAGCGGAAGUUCCCCCCGAUGACAUCAUACCACAGGAUGCUCCUUCACAGGGUGGCGGCGUAUUUUGGGCUGGACCAUAAUGUCGAUCAGAGCGGGAAAUCAGUCAUUAUCAACAAAACCAGCAAUACCAGAAUACCAGACCAGAAGUUUUCUGAACACAUUAAAGAUGAUAAAACAGAUGAUUUCCAAAAGCGGUACAUCUUAAAGAGAGACAACUCCAGCCUGGACCAGGAUGAUGGUAGGCUGCGGAUGCGUCUUAAG